rnacentral:piRNA from 2 species
UAACAUUGUAGACAGGCACAAAGAUCCCCU